AGCAGCCGCGGUAAUUCCAGCUCCAAUAGCGUAUAUUAAAGUUGUUGCAGUUAAAAAGCUCGUAGUUGAAUUUCAGGCCUGGCUGGACGGUCCGCCCUUCGGGUGAGUACUGUCUGUGGUCGGGUCCUACCUUCUGGCGAAGCGUCAUGGCCUUAACCGGCCGUGGCGGGGAACCAGGACUUUUACUGUGAAAAAAUUAGAGUGUUCAAAGCAGGCAAUCGCUUGGAUACAUUAGCAUGGAAUAAUGGAAUAGGACAAUGGUUCUAUUUGUUGGUUUCUAGGACCGUUGUAAUGAUUAAUAGGGAUAGUUGGGGCAUUAGUAUUCAAUUGUCAGAGGUGAAAUUCUUGGAUUUAUUGAAGACUAACUACUGCGAAAGCAUUUGCCAAGGAUGUUUUCAUUAAU
rnacentral:rRNA from 1 species